CCCAUUAGGUCAAAUUUUCAUAUUUGUUGGUCCUAGGAAACUUGUGGUGUCAGAGUUCAUAGCAUUACAAAAGCUUGUUGAAAUUAUCCAAAGGUGGAAAAGUCUAAUGUCAAAUGCCAAUCACCUUGCCAAUAGCAUCCCUUCCUCUACUGCAUGGUUAAGGAUUCUAGGAGGCACGGCUAUGAAUUGCCUACUUCUUUGAGGGAUUUCAAAGUCUCCGCUAAUAAUUUAGGUCAAGAUCAUUAGGCCAGUUCAGAUACUAGAAGAGCAAGAAUUAGGGGG
rnacentral:lncRNA from 1 species